UGGGGUUGAGGCACUUGGC
rnacentral:misc_RNA from 1 species